rnacentral:tRNA from 1 species
GCCCGAGUGGCGGAACUGGCAGACGCACACGACUCAAAAUCGUGCGGAGGCGACUCCAUGCGGGUUCGAUUCCCGCCUUGGGCA